GAAUUGUUCACAAUGGGCGCAAGCCUGAUGACGCUACGCCGCGUGGGGGAUGAAGGUCUUCGGAUUGUAAACCCCUGUCGAGCGGGACGAACGGCCUCUGGGCUAAUCACCAGAGGAGUGACGGUACCGGUAAAGGAAGCCACGGCUCACUCCGUGCCAGCAGCCGCGGUAAUACAGAGGUGGCAAGCGUUGUUCGGAAUUACUGGGCGUAAAGGGCGCGUAGGCGGCCAUUUAAGUCAGACGUGAAAUCCCCCGGCUUAACCUGGGAACUGCGUCUGAUACUGGAAGGCUUGAGUUUGGGAGAGGGAUGUGGAAUUCCAGGUGUAGCGGUGAAAUGCGUAGAUAUCUGGAGGAACACCGGUGGCGAAGGCGGCAUCCUGGACCAACACUGACGCUGAGGCGCGAAAGCUAGGGGAGCAAACGGG
rnacentral:rRNA from 1 species